CGCACACGUUCACAGCCCACACCCCUGCACUCUCUAAUUUUUUUUUUUUUACCCUCACAUUUUGCCUUUUCUCUCUUAAUUAUUGAUUUGGGCUUAUGGCCCAAAUUGUCCAAGCCCACAUAUGGGCUGGACCCAACAAUUCUCCCCCUCCAACUCAUAUGGAGAGGUGAAUGACACUUUGACUAGCACAGUAAAUAGUAUAUCUUUCUUGUUUCAAGCUCAAUUCUUGUAGAAACUUUUUU
rnacentral:lncRNA from 1 species